rnacentral:rRNA from 1 species
GGGAUAACGUUCCGAAAGGAGCGCUAAUACCGCAUACAGCGUUUGGUGGUUCGCCACUGGACGGCAAAGGCUGGGAUCUUCGGACCAGUCACUGGAGGAGGAGUCUGCGGCCCAUCAGCUAGUUGGUAAGGUAACGGCUUACCAAGGCAAAGACGGGUAGCUGGUCUGAGAGGAUGAUCAGCCACACUGGUACUGGAACACGGACCAG